rnacentral:rRNA from 1 species
GACGAACGCUGGCGGCGCGCCUAAUACAUGCAAGUCGAGCGGACCGAACAGGAGCUUGCUCUUGUUCGGUUAGCGGCGGACGGGUGAGUAACACGUGGGUAACCUGCCCGUAAGACCGGGAUAACUCCGGGAAACCGGAGCUAAUACCGGAUAACACCGAAGACCGCAUGGUCUUUGGUUGAAAGGCGGCUUCGGCUGCCACUUACGGAUGGGCCCGCGGCGCAUUAGCUAGUUGGUGAGGUAACGGCUCACCAAGGCGACGAUGCGUAGCCGGCCUGGGAGGGUGACCGGCCACACUGGGACUGAGACACGGCCCAGACUCCUACGGGAGGAAGCAGUAGGGAAUCUUCCGCAAUGGACGAAAGUCUGACGGAGCGACGCCGCGUGAGCGAAGAAGGUCUUCGGAUCGUAAAGCUCUGUUGUUAGGGAAGAAGAAGCGUCGUUCGAACAGGGCGGCGCGGUGACGGUACCUAACGAGAAAGCCCCGGCUAACUACGUG